CACGUAGGGUGCGAGCGUUGUCCGGAAUUAUUGGGCGUAAAGAGCUCGUAGGCGGUGUGUCGCGUCGGCCGUGAAAACCUGCAGCUUAACUGUGGGCUUGCGGUCGAUACGGGCAUCACUGGAGUUCGGCAGGGGAGACUGGAAUUCCUGGUGUAGCGGUGAAAUGCGCAGAUAUCAGGAGGAACACCGGGUGGCGAAGGCGGCAUCCUGGACCAAUAUUGACGCUGAGGAGCGAAAGCCAGGGGAGCAAACGGG
rnacentral:rRNA from 1 species